rnacentral:rRNA from 1 species
UACGAAGGGGGCUAGCGUUGUUCGGAUUUACUGGGCGUAAAGCGCACGUAGGCGGAUUGUUAAGUGAGAGGUGAAAUCCCGGAGCUCAACUCCGGAACUGCCUUUCAUACUGGCAAUCUAGAGUCCGGAAGAGGUGAGUGGAACUCCUAGUGUAGAGGUGGAAUUCGUAGAUAUUAGGAAGAACACCAGUGGCGAAGGCGGCUCACUGGUCCGGUACUGACGCUGAGGUGCGAAAGCGUGGGGAGCAA